CCCCUCCCCUCCCCUCCCGGUCCAGUCCCAGCUCUCUCCACCGAACAGGCGAAAAAACAUUUUCGUGAAGAAUAAAGUUGUUUCUAACAGACCUGAGCUGUUUCCCGAGGAUCGGUUUUUACUAUGUGGAAACAUAAAACGGCGUUGGGAGACUCCGUGGUUUGUUUCAUCCUUCUGGUGGCGCUUUGCGACGCUCAUCGAUUCCUGACUCAGAACAGGGCCUCCCAGUUUCUGUCUCGGCACCGCAGGGCCAACGCUCUGUUUGAGGAGAGUAAGAAAGGUAACCUGGAGAGAGAAUGUAUCGAGGAGCUGUGCAAUAAGGAAGAAGCGCGGGAGAUCUUUGAAAACUACCCAGAGACGUUUGUCUGGGUUCACAUCGUGUGGGCAUCAACAACUACAACUCCGGAGACUCCAACGUACCUUCAAACCUCAGGACUUGUGUCAAAGGUUGGUAAAGAGAUCAGUGACCAGUGCCUUCCGUUUCCGUGUUACAAGGAGGGUUCUGAACGCUGCAUCGAUGGCCAGGCCUCCUUCACCUGUCAGUGUCGACCAGGCUGGAAGGGCCCGCGCUGUGAGGAUGACAUCGACGAGUGUUCGGACCCAGAUCACCAAGCCGGCUGCAACCAGAAGUGUUACAACUCACCCGGGUCCUUCCGCUGUAUGUGUGAUGAUGGGUACCGGUUCAGAACCAACGAGAAGAUCCACUGUACAGAUAUCAAUGAGUGUUUGCUGUACCCCAGUAUCUGUGAGGAACCAGCUAAAUGUGUCAACAACCCUGGCAUGUAUGAGUGCGAGUGUCCCCCGGGCUUCAAUUACAACUUCACCUUACGCUCCUGUUUGGAUGUCGACGAGUGCGAGGUGGGCGUGUGUGAGGGCGUGUGCGUGAACACGAUGGGUAGCUACUCCUGCCGCUGCGAAGGUCGUCAGGGUCUGCGGUUAGCAGAGGACCGGCGUUCCUGUGAGGAGGUCCCAGUGUGCGUCCAGCUGUACGACUACAAACACGCCGAGAUGCUGUACCUGGGAGAACAAUUCACCGGAGGACCUGUCAUAUACCUCCGUUUCAGACUACCGGAGAACACGAAGUUCGCUGCGGAGUUUGACUUCUGUACGUUUGAUCCAGAAGGGGUGGUUCUGUACGCAGAGUCUUCCCGGGACUCGUGGUUCAUGCUGGGGCUGAGAGGAGGACGGAUCGAAGUCCAGUUCAAGAACCAGCACUCCCUCAAGGUCACCAGCGGGGGCAAGGCCAUCAACGACGGACAGUGGCAUGUGAUCUCAGUAGAUGAACUAGAGUCCAGCAUCAGUGUUAAGAUCAGUAAGGAAGCUGUGAUGAGCAUCAACAGCCCCGGGAGUCUCUUUACGUCCGUUAACGGGAAACUGGAGACCAAGGUGUACAUCGCAGGGCUGCCCAACCGCACCGACAGCGUCAUCAAACCGAUCAACCCUCGUCUGGACGGCUGUAUCCGCGGCUGGAACCUGAUGAACCAGGGGUCGUCCGGGGUCAAGGAGGUCAUUCAGGAGAAGAAGAGCAAACACUGUUUCCUGCACGUAGAGAGAGGAACCUACUUCACAGGGGCGGGACUGGCCCAUUUCAACGUAGACUACCGCGAGUCAGGUAGCUGGAGGGUGGAUCUGAAGGUAAAUAUCCGUCCGUCCAGCAGUACAGGAGUUCGCUUCGCUCUCGUCCUCAACGAUACCGUCCCCCUGUCUGUCUCCGUGGUUACGCAAGGACCUGAAGAAGCUGUGAGUUCAGCAACGAUCUCCACACACACACACACACACACACCCUUCACCUCUCCCCCCUCCUUCCUCCAGGACCUGCGGGUGUUCCUGGAUGGAGUGUCCGUGGCGACGCUACAGUCGCUGAUGUUGUGUUACCCAGACCGUCUGUCUGUAGAACUGACCGUCAACCCCACUAGCCUGGAGAUCGUAGCCAACACCUCCACCUGGUCCUACAGCCUCCCUGACGGGGCGCUGGAUCGACUCAACCACACCAUGACGCAUUCUGUCAGGACAUGUAUAGGAGGACUGCCGGGUAACUAGCUAGUCACUAACUAACUAACCACCAUGAUGACACACUCUGUCAGGACAUGUAUAGGAGGACUGCCAGGUAACUAGCUAGUCACUAACUAACUAACUAACUAACCAACCAACCACAAUGAUGACACACUCUGUCAGGACAUGUAUAGGAGGACUGCCAGGUAACUAGCUAGUUACUAACUAACUAAUCACAAUGAUGACACACUCUGUCAGGACAUGUAUAGGAGGACUGCCAGGUAACUAGCUAGUUACUAACUAACUAACAACCAUGAUGACACACUCUGUCAGGACAUGUAUAGGAGGACUGCCAGGUAACUUGCUAGUUACUAACUAACUAAUCACAAUGAUGACACACUCUGUCAGGACAUGUAUAGGAGAACUGCCAGGUAACUAGCUAGUUACUAACUAACUAACCACCAUGAUGACACACUCUGUCAGGACAUGUAUAGGAGGACUGCCAGGUAACAAGCUAGUUACUAACUAACUAACUAACUAACCACAAUGAUGACACACUGUCAGGACAUGUAUAGGAGGACUGCCGGGUAACUAGCUAGUUACUAACUAACUAACUAACUAACUAACCAACCACCAUGAUGACACACUCUGUCAGGACAUGUAUAGGAGGACUGCCGGGUAACUAGCUAGUCACUAACUAACUAACCACCAUGAUGACACACUCUGUCAGGACAUGUAUAGGAGGACUGCCAGGUAACUAGCUAGUCACUAACUAACUAACUAACUAACCAACCAACCACAAUGAUGACACACUCUGUCAGGACAUGUAUAGGAGGACUGCCAGGUAACUAGCUAGUUACUAACUAACUAAUCACAAUGAUGACACACUCUGUCAGGACAUGUAUAGGAGGACUGCCAGGUAACUAGCUAGUUACUAACUAACUAACCACCAUGAUGACACACUCUGUCAGGACAUGUAUAGGAGGACUGCCAGGUAACUUGCUAGUUACUAACUAACUAAUCACAA